AGGUCUGUGCCCAGAGUACUGAUCCACUGGCAGGAGCCAGCUCUCUCCUCCAGCAAGGCUGGCCCUGAAGCAGCUUCCCCUGAUGGCAGUUCUCCCAAUUCAGCAGGAUUCAUUCUCCUGGAAGUCUGCCCUGAUACCCUGUGGUCCUCAUCCCUCCUCACGUUCCCCUGUAGCUCUCUAACUGGGGGGGGGGCCUUGGCCCAGUGCCAUCCCUUCAGCUGGGUAUUCAACGAGCAAUUGUUAGUCUCCAAUUGUAUACCAGGCCCUGUGCUAGGUGCCGGAGGUUCCAAACCAAGAAAAAACUGUCUCUGCCCUCCAGGAGCCCCUCCCCCUAUUUUUGUAAAGAAUUCCCAUCUUUAAAAAAAAAAAGAAUUCCCAUCUUUUGUUUUCACACCACCUUCAUUUUCGAAUAUAUCCACCCCUGCCAUCCCUUGUAACAAAGAGUUAAAAAGUAGAAAUUCAGCAGAAGUAGCCAAUGCACACUCCCAGUGGGAUGGCCUGUGCAUACCCCACACCUGUAGUCCCCCCUCUUUGGAGAAGGGGACAGGGCAUUUUAGUACAAGGAGAUACAGAGUAUUUGGGGAGGGGAAGGAUCAGAAGGUUCCCUCCGGUAGGAGGGGGAUCUUGAACUGAGCCUGGACCAGUCCCGUGUCCCCUCCUCCCUAUUCAACUAUCGGCCCCCUGAGGACCAGGCCUAGACUGUGUCAGCUCAGCGGCCCCAGGGCUUACCCGGCACAGAAUAGACACUUGUUUCAAUUCUUUGUGGCUGGGGGCAGCUAGGUAGCACAGAGAAUAGAGCACCGGCCCUGGAGUCAGGAAGACCUGAGUUCAAAUGAGGCCUCAGACACAUAACACUAGCCGUGUGACUCUGGGCAAGUCACUUAACUCCAAUUGCCUAGCCAAAAAACAAAAGAAAAACCAAUACAAAGACAAAAAUGAAGGUUCAAUGAUCAAUUCUUUGAGGUUCAGCUGUUUCAGAUGAGUCUGGCUCUCCAUGACCCAGACACUGAGGGCGUUUGCCGUUUCCCACUCCAGCUCAUUUUAUAGCUGAGGAAACCCAAGCAAACAGCAUUAAGUGACUUGCCCAGGGCCAUGCAGCUAGGAAGUGUCUGAGGUGGGACUUGAACUCAGGGAGAUGAGUCUUCGGGACUCCAAGCCCAGACCUCUACCCACUGUGGCACCACCUCACUGCUGUAUGUCUCUGUUCUACAAGCUUUUAUUAAGCACCUACUGAAUUCCAAGCCCUGGGGAUACAAAGACAAGAAAAGAAACAGUCUGACUGUCAAGAGUCAUACAGGUAAUCUUUUAAACUUAUUUUUCCAAUGGACAAGCAUUGGCUUUUCUUCCUUCCAUCCCUAAC
rnacentral:lncRNA from 1 species